AUCUGUUGAUAUUUACUGUGAACGUUUUGUGUAUAUUUAAAUAUAUUCAGCUAUGUUAAAAGACAUGUGUAAUGUCAAAUCAUAAAAAUACUAAGUGUUUAUUCUUAAAGAAAACUUGUAAGAUUUCCACAGCUGUUUUUGUUGAAUAUGUGCAAUUUGUGUACUCAGUGCAAUUUGGGUACUGUUACGUUAUAUCUGUUCUCUACAGAGCUAAGUAUUUAGUGACAAUCUAUUUUCGUAUUGGAUAAUGUAUCUGGUCUAAAAAAAAUAGUUUGCCACAAGUAUUUAGUGACAAUUAUCUAUUCCUGUAUGAGAUGAUGUAUCUGGUGUGAUUUUUUUAUUAUUUUACCACUGAAUGAAUCACCAAUCAAACUAUAUAAAUAGAUUGAAGUUAAAAAAAAUAUCUGGAAAAUUAACUGAAUCCUUAGACAGAAUGAAUAAUAUAAUUAUAACUUUUUUGUUAUGCCCAACUGCUAGUUGAAGGGGCAUUAACUUUUACUGUUGUCAUGAUGUCCAUCCAUACAUAUGUCUGUCUGUACAGAAAUUGGUUUCCAUUUUCUUACUUUAUUUGCACUCAAUUAUUUUUUUCACAGAACACAGAUCAAUUUAUUCGAAUUUGAGUGGCAUCACUUUGACCGUUCGUGAGUUAUGCCCCUUUAUUAACGCAAAAAUUGCUGAAUCUUUCUUUUCUUGUCUCUAACUUUAGUUUGUCCCAACAAAUGUUAUAAAACUUAUACACUACUUAUUACCACAAAACACAGAUCAAGUUUGAAUUUGACACCCGUCACUGUAACCGUUCUUGAGUUACAUGUAUUUAUGCUCCUUUAUUAUUAAAUGGAAAAAAUUGCCAAAUCUGUGGUGGAUCCGACAAACUGUUGUAUACCGAUUUUAUUUAUUUAGAUAUGAUUUACAAACUUCAGAAAAGGUUGAGAAGCAUUUUAAUUCUAGGGAAUUCCAACCUGAAGCAAGUUGUACCAAUGGAAUUGAUGGAAGCCCCCAUUAGAACACUGUGCAUAACUGGGGUUGCAACUUCACCAUCUCAUACAGCAUCUAGUUCAUCAAAGAUGACCUAUGCUGAAGUGGUGAGACUUCCUGUGCAUGCAACAGGUCAGACCAAACUAAAACCACGUUUGAUAUUAAGUGUAUGGAAAUGAAGAAAUCAAUUGGAGUCCCUACAUUCAAAAGGAGGAGUGUGUCUUCAGUUGAGAUUGGUAGAAAAAAAGAAAAAACAUCUCACAGAUGAAGAAGUGGCACUUAUGAAACAGGAUACAGGGUAAAGACAAGUGAUCUAGUAUUUGGGGUCACAGAGGAUGUGGCUGUAGUCCUACCAAACAAAGCUUUACUGGAACAUAGUUUUUAUCAGGCAGAAUUCAGACAGACAGAGAUUCGUCAUUUCAGAUACCAAAUAAAGAAAAUGCUGUUGAGGAACAGGGGAGUUUCUGUGAUGAGAAUGAUACACAAAGAGCAUUUGAGUGUAAUGAAGUUGAGAGUAGUAUUUUAACCAAAAGAACAUCUGCCUUAACAACAGUGAAGGUUUUAGCGAGCAGGUGUUAUUUGGUGAUGUUGAAAGAAAUCCAGGACCUACAAUGGUUUAUCAAGACUAAUCUUAGUGCUUGCCAUACAAGUGUCAAAGAGUGAAGGGCAAGAACAAUUUUAAAGAACAGAGAAGACUUGUUUUAUUGCACUUAGUUUUGAGUUUUUGUUUUAUAUUUUACCACUAUGAUAGAGUAAUGUAACAUUCAGGAAAUGUAUUGUUCUGAUA